rnacentral:rRNA from 1 species
AGCAGCCGCGGUAAUUCCAGCUCCAAUAGCGUAUAUUAAAGUUGUUGCAGUUAAAAAGCUCGUAGUUGAAUUUCGGGGUCAGUAGGUCGGUCGUGCCACUGGUAUGAACUGGUUUUACUGAUUCCUCCCUCUUGAAGAACUGUAAUGCCAUUAAUUUGGUGUUGCAGGGAAUCAGGACUGUUACUUUGAAAAAAUUUAGAGUGUUUAAAGCAGGCUUUAGCUUGAAUACAUUAGCAUGGAAUAAUGAAAUAGGACGUUUGAUCCUAUUUUGUUGGUUUCUAGGAUUGACGUAAUGAUUAAUAGGGAUAGUUGGGGGCAUUAGUAUUCAAUUGUCAGAGGUGAAAUUCUUGGAUUUAUUGAAGACUAACUACUGCGAAAGCAUUUGCCAAGGAUGUUUUCAUUAAUCAAGAACGAAAGUUAGGGGAUCGAAGACGAUCAGAUACCGUCGUAGUCUUAACCAUAAACUAUGCCGACUAGGGAUUGGAUGAUGUUAAUUUUUUAAUGACUCAUUCGGCGCCUU